ACGCUCGACACCUACGGGAGACAGCAGUGGGGAAUAUUGCACAAUGGGGGAAACCCUGAUGCAGCGACGCCGCGUGAGUGAAGAAGUAUUUCGGUAUGUAAAGCUCUAUCAGCAGGGAAGAAGAUGACGGUACCUGAGUAAGAAGCCCCGGCUAACUACGUGCCAGCAGCCACGGUAAUCUGAGCGGGCUGGCAAGGC
rnacentral:rRNA from 1 species